UACGGGGGGCAAGCGUUUGUUCGGAAUUACUGGGCGUAAAGGGCUCGUAGGUGGCCAACUAAGUCAGACGUGAAAUCCCUCGGCUUAACCGGGGAACUGCGUCUGAUACUGGAUGGCUUGAGUUCGGGGAGAGGGAUGCGGAAUUCCAGGUGUAGCGGUGAAAUGCGUAGAUAUCAGGAGGAACACCGGUGGCGAAGGCAAUCCCCUGGGCCUGCAC
rnacentral:rRNA from 1 species